rnacentral:rRNA from 1 species
UACGUAGGGGGCAAGCGUUAUCCGGAUUUAUUGGGUGUAAAGGGCGUGUAGGCGGGAAAGCAAGUCAGAUGUGAAAACUCAGGGCUCAACCCUGAGCCUGCAUUUGAAACUGUUUUUCUUGAGUGCUGGAGAGGCAAUCGGAAUUCCGUGUGUAGCGGUGAAAUGCGUAGAUAUUAGGAGGAACACCAGUGGCGAAGGCGGCCUGCUGGGCUUUUACUGACGCUGAGGCUCGAAAGUGUGGGGAGCAAACAGG